AUCCAGCUGACGAGUUUUAAAUAAGACGAAACGCGCGUCAAACUGGAU
rfam:Schistosoma rodhaini strain Burundi genome assembly, scaffold: SROB_scaffold0000810